rnacentral:rRNA from 1 species
CCCAGACUCCUACGGGAGGCAGCAGUGGGGGAUAUUGCACAAUGGGGGGAGCCCUGAUGCAGCGACGCCGCGUGGGUGAAGGAGCGUUUCGGCGCGUAAAGCCCUAUCGGCAGGGAAGAAGGAGGACGGUACCUGACUAAGAAGCCCCGGCUAACUACGUGCCAGCAGCCGCGGUAAUACGUAGGGGGCAAGCGUUAUCCGGAUUUACUGGGUGUAAAGGGGGCGCAGACGGCAGCGCAAGCCAGGAGUGAAAGCCCGGGGCCCAACCCCGGGACUGCUCUUGGAACUGCGCGGCUGGAGUGCAGGAGGGGCAGGCGGAAUUCCUGGUGUAGCGGUGAAAUGCGUAGAUAUCAGGAGGAACACCGGUGGCGAAGGCGGCCUGCUGGACUGCGACUGACGUUGAGGCCCGAAAGCGUGGGGAGCAAACAGGAUUAGAUACCCUGGUA